rnacentral:rRNA from 1 species
GCAAAUCCCAAAAAUAACGUCCCAGUUCGGAUUGUAGUCUGCAACUCGACUACAUGAAGCUGGAAUCGCUAGUAAUCGCGAAUCAGAAUGUCGCGGUGAAUACGUUCCCGGGUCUUGUACACACCGCCCGUCACACCAUGGGAGUCGGAAAUGCCCGAAGUCAGUGACCUAACCGAAAGGAGGGAGCUGCCGAAGGUGGAGCCGGUAACUGGGGUGAAGUCGUAACAAGGUAAC